GACGAACGCUGGCGGCGUGCCUAAUACAUGCAAGUCGAACGAACCGCGACUAAGUGCUUGCACUACGUCAAGGUGAGUGGCGAACGGGUGAGUAACACGUGGGUAACCUACCUCAUAGUGGGGGAUAACAGUCGGAAACGACUGCUAAUACCGCAUAGGACAUAGGAUCACAUGAUCCAGUGAGGAAAGGUGGCGCAAGCUAUCGCUAAGAGAUGGACCCGCGGUGCAUUAGCUAGUUGGUAGGGUAAAGGCCUACCAAGGCGAUGAUGCAUAGCCGACCUGAGAGGGUGAUCGGCCACAUUGGGACUGAGACACGGCCCAAACUCCUACGGGAGGCAGCAGUAGGGAAUCUUCCGCAAUGGACGCAAGUCUGACGGAGCAACGCCGCGUGAGUGAAGAAGGUCUUCGGAUCGUAAAGCUCUGUUGUUAGAGAAGAACAGCGCAUAGAGUAACUGCUAUGCGUGUGACGGUAUCUAACCAGAAAGCCACGGCUAACUACGUG
rnacentral:rRNA from 1 species